rnacentral:lncRNA from 1 species
CUAGCCUUUUUAUCACUUUCAAUGGGGACAUUGAAAAUUUUAAGUUUGGGGGUGGUAAUCUAAGGAAGAGCAUAUUAUUAUGUAGUUUAUUAUUGCAUGUGUUAGUUAGUUCAUGUAGUUCACGUUUUUUUUAUUUUGCUUUGAUUAUUUCUCACGUUUUUCUAUUUUUCUCAUAAUUUUUUUAUUUUUACAUGUUUAGUAGUAAUUGUCGUAGCUAGUAUCACGAGCAUUUGCAUGAAUUAUGAAGUUAAGCCAAGUUAAUUGCCUAUGAUGAGUUAUGUGCGUAGUUCUUGAUUAGUAAUUUCAAUUGCAAUGCUAGGUUAGUACUUGGAAAUUGCUUGUGUUGGAAAUUGUAAUUCACAUAUGUUCUUGAGAUAGGAUUUAGACGAAAUUCCAUGAAUUCUAGGAUUGAAUUGAGCACCCUUCAGCUUAGGUCUGUAAAUCUUAAGUUUGGGGGAACUGAGGAGUAGAUAUACCUUUCUAAAAAAAAAAAAAAAAAAAAAUGUAUAAAAGAAAAAAGAAAAAAAAAGAGUAGUAAAUAAAUUCACUAAAAAAAAAUAAGUGGUAGAAUUAACUAGGUUGAGCUCAUUAGUACUCGAGUAAUUAAGUCUGAGGG